rnacentral:rRNA from 1 species
GGAUGCGAUCAUACCAGCACUAAAGCACCGAAUCCCAUCAGAACUCUGAAGUUAAGCGUGCUUGGGCGAGAGUAGUACUAGGAUGGGUGACCUCCUGGGAAGUCCUUGUGUUGCAUUCC